GCCCACUGAUUAUUAUUAAAGGGCCGCAGUAUUUUGACUGUGCGAAGGUAGCAUAAUCAAUAGUCUUUUAAUUGAAGGCUCGUAUGAAUGGUUGAAUGAGGUAUAUACUGUCUUUUUUAAAUUUUUAUAGAAUUUUAUUUUUUAAUUAAAAAGUUAAAAUGUAAUUAAAGGACGAGAAGACCCUAUAGAUCUUUAUUUUUGUUAAUUAUAGAAUAAAAAGAAUAUUAAAUUUUAUAAUUUAAUAAAAAAUUUUACUGGGGUGGUAUUAAAAUUUAAAAAACUUUUAUUAUUUAUUUACAUAAAUAUAUGUAUAUUUGAUCCAGUUUUAUUGAUUAAAAAAUUAAGUUACCUUAGGGAUAACAGCGUAAUUUUUUUUUAGAGUUCAUAUCGACAAAAAAGAUUGCGACCUCGAUGUUGGAUUAAGAGUUAUUUUUAGGUGUAGAAGUUUAAAGUUUAGGUCUGUUCGACCUUUGAAUUCUUACAUGAUCUGAGUUCAAACCGGCGUAAGCCAGGUUGGUUUCUAUCCUUAAUAAAAUAUUAUAUUAUAGUACGAAAGGACCUAAUAUAAAAAAUAUAGAUUUUAAAUUUAUGAAUUAUAUUAAUAUUUAAUAAAACUAUUUUGGCAGAUUAGUGCAAUAAAUUUAGAAUUUAUUUAUAUAAUUUAAUUAAUUAUAAAUAGUAUUGUUUUAUAUAGAUUAUUUAUUAUCGUUAAUUGGAAGUUUAUUAUUAGUAAUUUGUGUAAUAGUUGGAGUUGCUUUUUUAACUUUAUUAGAACGUAAAGUUUUAGGAUAUAUUCAAAUUCGU
rnacentral:rRNA from 1 species